AUUGAACGCUGGCGGCAUGCUUUACACAUGCAAGUCGAACGGUAACAGGCCGCAAGGUGCUGACGAGUGGCGAACGGGUGAGUAAUGCAUCGGAACGUGCCCAGUCGUGGGGGAUAACGCAGCGAAAGCUGCGCUAAUACCGCAUACGAUCUCUGGAUGAAAGCGGGGGACCGUAAUGCCUCGCGCGAUUGGAGCGGCCGAUGUCAGAUUAGGUAGUUGGUGGGGUAAAGGCUCACCAAGCCAACGAUCUGUAGCUGGUCUGAGAGGACGACCGCCUACACUGGGACUGAGAAACGGCCCAGACUCCGCCGUGCGGCAGCAGUGGGGAAUUUUGGACAAUGGGCGCAAGCCUGAUCCAGCAAUGCCGCGUGCAUGAAGAAGGCCUUCGGGUUGUAAACUGCCUUUGUACGGAACGAAACGGCUCUGGUUAAUACCUGGGGCUAAUGACGGUACCGUAAGAAUAAGCACCGGCUAACUACGUGCCAGCCGCCGCAGUAACAC
rnacentral:rRNA from 1 species